rnacentral:pre_miRNA from 1 species
UUGCUCAUCAGCUGGAUGUGAAAUGUCUCGUUUAUUCAUAUCACAGCCAGCUUUGAUGAGCGCUA